rnacentral:rRNA from 1 species
GACGAACGCUGGCGGCGUGCCUAAUACAUGCAAGUAGGACGCAGUUGCGAACGGGUGAGUAACGCGUAGGUAACUACCUAUUAGAGGGGGAUAACUAUUGGAAACGAUAGCUAAUACCGCAUACUAGUAGAUGGACCUGCGUUGUAUUAGCUAGUAGGUAGGGUAAUGGCCUACCUAGGCAACGAUACAUAGCCGAGCCGGGGGGGUGGUGGGGCCAAAUUGGACUGGGAAACGGCCCAAGACCCCUCGGGGGGGAGGCGUAGGGAAUCGUCGGCAAUGGGGCGAACGCUUGCCAAGGAAAGCCGCGGGGGUGAAGAAGGGUUUCGGAUCGUAAAGCUCUUUUGUUAAGGAAGCGGUACUUAACCAGAAAGGGACGGCUAACUACGUGCCAGCAGCCGCGGUAAUUC